rnacentral:rRNA from 1 species
GCAAGAUACCUGUUUAUCCUGCAGGAGGUUGCUGCUAUCAGAAUCCGGCUAAAGCAUGCAAGUCUAUGGUUCUUCGGAGCCAUGGCGCCCUGCUCAGUAACACGUCGAUAAUCUGCCCUGCAGUCUGGGAUAACCUUGGGAAACUGAGGAUAAUACCAGAUAAUGAUCAGAUACUGAAAUGUUCUGUUCAUGAAAGCUUCGGUGCUGCAGGAUGAGUCGGCGGCCCAUCAGAUUGUUGGUGAGGUAAUGGCUCACCAAGUCUAAGACGGGUAAGGGCCGUGAGAGCGGUUGCCCUGAGAAGGACACUGAAAUACUGGUCCUAGCCCUAAGGGGUGCAGCAGCUGCGAAAACUUUGCAAUGCGCGCAAGCGUGACAAGGGGAUUCUGAGUGCCCAAGGUUUCCUUGGGCUUUUUGCAAGAGUAAAUAUCUUGCAGAAUAAGUGGUGGGCAAGACUGGUGCCAGCCGCCGCGGUAACCCCAGCGCCACAAGUGGGAACCAGUUUUAUUGGGUCUAAAGCAUCCGUAGCCGGUUCAGCAAAUUUCUUGUGAAAUCGUCCUGCUCAACAGGAUGGCGUGCAGGAAAGACUACUGGACUUGGGACCAGGAGAGGUUGACAGUAUUCAUAGGGGAGCGGUAAAAUGCUAUAAUCCUAUGAGGACUACCGAUGGCGAAGGCAGUCAGCCAGAAUGGAUCCGACGGUGAGGGAUGAAAGCUAGGGGAGCAAAACGGAUUAGAUACCCGAGUAGUCCUAGCUGUAAACGCUGCGAGCCAGAUGUUGCACAAUCUAUGAGGUUGUGCAGUGUCGUAACGAAGGUGUUAAGCUCGCCACCUGGGAAUUACGGUCGCAAGGCUGAAACUUAAAGGAAUUGGCGGGGGAGCACCACAACGGGUGCGGCGUGCUGUUUAAUCUAAUUCAACGCAGAGAAUCUCACCAGGGGCGACGGCAGGAUGAAGAUCAGUCCAAAGGGCUUAUCAGACAAGCCGAGAGGUGGUGCAUGGCCGCCGUCAGCUCGUGCCGUGAGGUGUCCUGUUAAGUCAGGCAACGAGCAAGACCUGUAUCCAUAGUUGCUAUUGCAUCAGCAAUGAUGAGCGGGCACACUAUGGAGACUGCCCCCGAAAGGGGGAGGAAGGUGCAGGCCACGGUAGGUCUGUAUGCCCCGAAUCUUCUGGGCUACACGCGCGCAACAAUGGCUUGGACAAUGGGAUGCGACUCUGAAAAGAGAAGCCAAUCCUCGAAACCAUGCCUUAGUACGGAUUGAGGAUUGUAACUCAUCCUCAUGACGACGGAAUCCGUAGUAAUCGGAGGUUAGCAUCCUCCGGUGAAUAUGUCCCUGCUCCUUGCACACACCGCCCGUCAAACCAACCGAGCAGGCUUUAGGUGAGCCUUAACUAUUUGGUUAAGCCGAACCUAAGGUCAGUGAGGUGGGUUAAGUCGUCACAAGGUAUCCGUAGGGGAACCUGCGGAUGGAUCACCUCCUUU